GCGAGCAGGGAGGGGGCCGGGCAGGGGCGGCAGAAGUGGCACAGCUGCCAGGGGAGUAGGACUAGGGGUGCGCCUCCACGCGCCGCGGGGCUUGGAAAGGACGCGCGGCCCCCGCCCCCCGCGGCCCCCGCGGCCCCCACCGGGCCGGGCCCGCGCCUGCUGCCGGGCUCAGCGCGAGGAAGGGGGCGGAGGAUGGCGGCGGAGCCAUGGAAACUGUGCCGGGUGGAUAAAUAAGGAGAGGGCCGCCCGAGGCCGUCCCCAGGCUGCCAGCAUCUCGGCGGCGGAUGCAGCGCUCUGGAAGCGCGGCCGAACUCCUACAAGUUUUUCCUCCCGCCCUGCAGCUCCGGGCUGGGGAAGUGGGCGCUUCCUGGAGAGGCAGGCCCCGGCUCGGAGGAAGGCUGGUGGUGGAGACUGGCCCCGGGGGAGGGGAGAGAGCUGCGAGGUGUGGGGCAAAGGAGAGUGUGAAGGUGACUUCGGGCCUCCCGAGGUCAUCGGCUGUUUGUUACCAGCCCGAAUGACGGCACGAGGCCCUGGCGGGUUCUGGCAACCCGAAGAGCCUGGGGAAACCUCUAGAUUCGUGUUCAGAAAGAUGGAUUCGCCCAGUUCAGACACUCAGAACUAACGAAGAGCUAAACCUUGGCGUAAGCGGAGGGGGGGUGGGGGAGGGGUGACGCCGACAACGGGACCUGGACCAGCCUGAAGUGGCACAGGCUGUCCCCAAAGUCAUGCCCACAUCCCCGUCAGGACUCGGAUUGGCAAGAUGGAGAGGGAUGUAAAUGGGUUGACUUGGGCCACGCGGGUGCCCUCCUGCGCGGGAAGCCUGAAGAGCCAGGCGUCCACCGCACCCUUGCCCUGGAAGCUGAUUUGCUAAUCCUCCAGCCUCCCCUGACACUCACGUACCUCAUCUGACUCACUGUGAGGUCACUGAUCCUUUACGCCCAAGUCUAUUGCCUGUAAAGUGCUGGCGAUUUUAAUGGGGGUUUUAUGAAGUUGAGUCACUUCAGGGUGUGGGGCUCUUCAGAGGCAGAGGGGUCACGCCGAGUGAAAGUGAACUACCUUGGCGGAGAAGCCUGUCCACCAGCUGAACGAUUUAAUUACAUGCCAUCUUGAUUUAAAGAGAUUUACGUGCGCGUGAGGACAGCUGGACAGUUACAUGCCGGUAUGGACCUGGAAAUUACUCUUUAACUGGACGAGGUCUAUUUCAUACUGAAAAUGAGUGACCAGUAUUUCUUUCUUUCUUAUUUCUACUUCAAAAUUUUUAGUUCUUUUACUUCUUAAUAGGAAAAAACAGCCUUUUACCCUCUUCCUCUGAAAUAAUUGUGAAAGUUCUCCGCUAGAGCUUCGGUUUCCAGAGAACGCUAGAUCCUCCGGAUGUCCAUAGGUACUUUAGUAUUGGAUUGUUACAGCCAGCGGGCAAGCAGAUGGCAUCACUGCUGAGAGAGGUUCCAGCAUGAAGGAUGAUGCACUGAGCUCCCAGAUCAUAAUUGGAGAAAGUUCCUCACUGUCAGCUUUUGGUUAUGAGACUGUGUGGGUGGAGCUCUUCCUCUGAGAUGAGCCCAUUGGAGACUCCUGUCCUAGGCCUGUACCACUGAGAGAAAGAGAAAGAGAAGUCACGUCUAUCUGAAUGACUGCACAAUGGAACAGCAUGAUCCAGGGCCUGGCACUUGGCCCAGGGCACCUUGCACGUGGUGCCCAGUAAGUGUUUGAAGUGACUUGGGUAACUCGCACCUGUGUGCUGAUGACCUGCCUGUCUUGACUGGAGGCCACCCCUCUCAACAGUUUGCAAGCAACCCCAUGAAGUAGGUGCUGCCACCUCUAAUACAGACGCACAUGAUGUCCCACGCAGUUGUGAUUUAUCCCAGGUCACACAGCAGCAGAGCUGAGGCUGGAAUGCAAGACUCCUGCAUUCAAGGCCAGUGUCUCUCUACCAAACCCAGGAAUCUGAACGUCCUUGGAUAGGAAGAGUCCGUGGGUAUUUCCUGCUUUACCUUCUGUGAACUUGGGCGAGGUACCGCACACUGAGGACCAGGCAGGUUGGAGCUCAGCAGACGGGAAGGUUCUUUCCAGAUCUAGAUUCUGAAGUUCUCUGACGUGACCUCUUCAGGCAGUGUUUACUCUGCAGGUUUUUCUCUCGCCACCACUUUCUGUGGCCCUGCCUCCCCGCUGUACGGGAAGUAAUGUGAGGACAAGAACUGAGUCCUGAGCACCUCCUGCUGCAGCACCCACCCCAACCCCCCCGCCCCGGCCAGGGAAAGCUACUUCUGACGGUAGUACCCAAAAUAAUAUGCUGCUUCUCUGUUGUUAAUUUUGAAGGCAAGACGCUUAUUAUUUAUUAGUCAUUCCGAGACAGCCUAUUUAGAGCACUUAUUGCCUAUUUUGCAAACACACUUGAGUGAUAUGUACAUAUUGUGGUGUUUGACCCUGUAAAUAAGAGUUUAUUAUUAUCCUCAACUGCUCACACUGCCAUAUAAAAAAGUGACAUUAAUAUCUUACAUUUUCCCUCACUGUGGUUAAUGCUAACUAGCAAUCUAUGUUAACCAUUUUCAGACUGUCCUCAUGGGGAGCGAGAAAAAGAACGUCUUAUGCUAUUUGUGAGUGGAAAAUGGCAGACAGUCUAAGGAAAGACAAAUGGUUAAAGUUCGAGUGCUUUUUCCAUUUUCAGAUGUGUGGAACCCCUGUGGAGAUCCUUGUUGGGCAUAGGAGCGGGAGUAACCAAUCUUUGGUGUGCUGGAACUGAUUUUAUACAAACCUGUAAUACUGCCCACACUUGGUUUCAGCAUGAGAUGUCCAGACAGCCUUCUGUGGACUGUGGCCGUGGAAAACCAUCUGCUGAGAUGAGCAAAUCCAGAGUCUACUAAAUACCAGCAAUUGUCCUGCCGAGAACAGUUCUGUGCUCUGUGGGGAUGGGUGAUGCGAGUCAAGGAAAUUAUAGGCUGCCCAGCCACCAGACCUUCUGAAAAGAUUAUGGGGUGACUUACUGAUCUUUAGGUGGGUCAGGGGUUUUGAGGGAAGCUUAGAUUUAAAGCAUGUAGUUAGAGUUGAAAAGACUGGGUUUGGAAUCUCAGAGUUCAAGAGACCAGGCCUGGAGUCUCAGAGAGAUACAGGGUGGAAAGAGCUCCAGGCAAAAAUCUGGGCUCUAGUCCUGGUCCUGACACAGCGGGUGGGUGGACCCCCUCAGAGCCUCUGCACGGCAGCUGGGGCAGCCCCUCCGUCUUACAGAGUAGAAAAGCGCAGCUCAGCAAGCACAGGGGCUUGCUCGAGUCCUCCAGAUGAUUGGAGUGAGAACCAGGACUACAACUCACACGUUUUGAUGUCCCGGCCAGGAUGCUUUCUAAUACUUGAAAUCAUCGAAGUUCAGUACUCCUCUGUCAAAUUUUCUCUUCUUCUUUGGCAGCUUUCCUGGAGCUUCAGAUAUGCUACUUUUAAUACAUUUCAUAUGUAAUGAUGGAGGUGUAACUAGAGACAACCACAAAAAAAGUCAAUACAAGAGAAGGAGUUUGGGAGGUUUCGGUGUGAGUAUUGACCUUUGCCCCUCGUUCUGGGUUGAAGUGUGUUGCUCCCCCAAGUUCAUGUGUUGAACUCUCAACCUUCAGCACCUCAGAAUGUGACCUUAUUUGGAAAUAGGGUCACUGCACAUGUGAUGAGUUAAGAUGAAGUCAUACUGCAGCGGGUGGUCCCCAAUCCCACGUGACUAGUGUCCUUAGAAAGAGAGAAACCUGGACACAGACUCGCACACAGGGAGCACGUCGUGUGAAGAUGAAGGCACAGAUCCGGGUGGUAUUCCUAUGCGCCAAAGGUGGCCAGUAAACCACCGGACGCCAGGAGAGAGCCUGGAACAGAUUCUCCCUCACAUCCUCAGAGGGAAACAAUCCUGCUGGCACCUCGGUUUUGGACUGCUGGCCUCCAGAACUGUGCAACAAGUUUCUGCUGUUUAAGGCACCCGGUCUGUGGUGCUUGGUUGGAGCAGCCCCAGCAGACGCACGUGCUCUCCUCACCUGGUGCCCUUCUCAGAUGAGCACCGCGCUGGUUGUCCAUCGUGUGGUCUUUGUCAGCUUUUUCUCCUACCCAUGUAUUUAAUGCUCUUGAAAAUAUUUUUCUUAGUACUGAAAAGAGCUUGGUAACGGGGAAAAAACUUAGGGAAAAAGUAAGCAUCCAAUUUAAUUUUAAAGACUUUUAGUUUUAGGUUUUUUUGGACACAGAAUGAAAAACAUUCUCUAAAGCAAUUUCUUUAACAAUUUUGUCAAGGACUUUAUUGGCAUUCUCCUGUUUAGCCUACAGACCUAGGGUCAUUUAUCCAUCAAUUUGGUCCCAGAGUUUAUAUUACCUGUGAGAUUUGUGUCAAACUCUCCCUAACAGACAAUGAACUCCUUUUUUUUUGCCCUGAUUACUGCCCUCCCUUCCUAGCCAUGUCAGAAGCGCUCCCAGAGCACCAGGAUCAUUUGUUCUGUAGAGUAGCUGCUAAAAGUUCCCACCUCUUGUGGUGGAUCCCUUCAAGGUCCACUCUCCUAGUGAUGUCCUUGGCCUGAGCUGACCAGUCAGAAGCCAUGUCACAGACAGUCGAGCUGCCCUCUGCAGUCAAGUCCUCACAGGGGUGGCCUGGCAGGGGACCAUCACACGCGUCAGGGCUAUGCUUGCCUUUGUAGAUCCUGAAACUUAGCUUUGUCCCCUCGUUCAGAACUGUUCUAACUGCUUUGUGAGAAUGAAACUCUUAGCAAAAGGACAUGUGAGCCUGCAUGUCAAGAGGUGUGUAUCUGCCUGAGAAUUGGGGUAUCCACGCCGCUAGUGCCGAUGCUGCGUAGCAAGAGCUGGGUCGGAACAAAGGGAGCUGGUGCCUCUGAGAAAGUCUCAUGACCACUCCUGCCCCACAAAGCCGUUAAGUCCUCAUAUUCUGCACAGACCAGCUUACAUCUGUUACCAAAUUCUCCAGACAGGGUCAAAUACAAUUGAUCAGGUUAAAGCUUUCCGUUAGAUUAAUUAUACAGUUAACUAUAUAAAAUUGCCAUUUUUGUGGGUCAAAAACAGCCCGGUGUUGACAAGUUCACAUAGUUCGACCUAAUAGGUUUUUAAACUUUUAAUUUUAAUUUAAUUAUAGAUGAGCAAGAAGUUGCAAAAAUAGAAGUCCCAUGUCCCCAUCACCCAGCUUCCCCCAGUGGUGGCAUCUUACAUGAUAUGGCUCUCUAUCAAAACCAGGACGCUGACGUUGGCACUGUGCACUUGACGAGUUUACAGGUCGUACUUGGAUUUCCCCAACCUAAUAGCUUAGGGGGCUGCUCCGAGUUACUUCCACGGUGACACAUUUAACAAUCUUUCAGGCUCCAUUUAUUUUGUAGAUGAUAGGGCUUUCAUUUUAAAGUUUUUGCAAAUAUUACAUUGUCAAGAUAAGAAUUCAAACAAUACAAUUGUGUAUAAUUGUGUAGCGUGUGAAAGCUUCCUCCUUUCUCUGUCACUCGGUGGAAUUAACUACUGUUAGAAGUUCAAUGGGAAUCUCUCUGCUUUUUUUGUACGGAGAUAUACGUAUGUAACUUCUUAAAAAAUCAUAUUUGUAAAC
ensembl:lncRNA